GGUAGGUGGAAGCUUUCGAAAAGGGUUCGCCCUUAGGAAGGUCUGAGAGUAGCAAGCGCCGGGUCGAGAUGACUGGGGAGGAAACUCCUAUGGCGGCAGCUGACCAGAAAGAAGUGUUUCAUCCCGCACAGCGGUUGAGAUGGCUGUUGCUAGCUGGAUAGUUAAAUUCGAAAGGUGGGUCUAGGAGAACGCCCAUAACCCAAUUCAGACUACUCUCCACAUGCC
rnacentral:RNase_P_RNA from 2 species